GCCUUCGUGGUGUAGUGGUCAACACACUCGGCGUGCAUUCGAGAGAUCGAUGGUUCGAGUCCCGACCAGGGUA
rnacentral:tRNA from 1 species